rnacentral:rRNA from 1 species
AUCGGAAUUACUGGGGCGUAAAGCGCACGCAGGCGGUCUGUCAAGUCGGAUGUGAAAUCCCCGGGCUCAACCUGGGAACUGGCAUUCGGAAACUGGCAGGCUAGAGUCUUGUAGAGGGGGGUAGAAUUCCAGGUGUAGCGGUGAAAUGCGUAGAGAUCUGGAGGAAUAUCGGUGGCGAAGGCGGCCCCCUGGACAAAGACUGACGCUCAGGUGCGAAAGCGUGGGGAGCAAACAGGAUUAGAUACCCUGGUAGUCCACGCCGUAAACGAUGUCGACUUGGAGGUUGUGCCCUUGAGGCGUGGCUUCCGGAGCUAACGCGUUAAAUCGACCGCCUGGGGAAUACGGGCGCAAGGAUAGAACUCAAAUGAAUUGACGGGGGCCCGCACAAGCGGUGGAGCAUGUGGUUUAAUUCGAUGCAACGCGAAGAACCUUACCUAGUCUUGACAUCCACAGAACUUUCCAGAAAUGGAUUGGUGCCUUCGGGAACUCUGAAACAGGGGCUGCAUGGCUGUCGUCAGCUCGUGUUGUGAAAUGUUGGGUUAAGUCCCCCAACCAACGCAACCCUUAUCCUUUGUUGCCAGCGGCUUGGCCGGGAACUCAAAGGAGACUGCCAGUGAUAAACUGGAGGAAAGUGGGGAUGACCUCACGUCAUCAUGGCCCUUACGACUAGGGCUACACACGUGCUACAAUGGCGCAUACACAGAGAAUUGACCUCUCGAGAGCAAGCGGACCUCAUAAAGUGCGUCUUACUCCCGAUUGGAGUCUGCAACUCGACUCCAUGAAGUCGGAAUCCCUAGUAAUCAUAGAUCUCAAUGCUACUGUGAAUACGUCCCCGGGCUUGUACACCC